CUCCGGGCAGUGGAACAGGGUAAGUUUCACUUUCCUGAGCUCAGAGAUAUGCCCCGCCUGCAGCAGCAAUUGGGUGUUUCCCUUCCUGGAACUGAUUCAGGCUGUUUGCUGAGCUGGAGCCAGAUCACAGCCACCAUUGAAUAAAUUCAACACCUCUGGAAACGAAGAGGAGAGUCAGCACCAUGCGUUCAGCCCCCUCUCCACUGAGCCCAGCUGAGGAAUUCCUGAUUGACAUGGCUAUAGCCUGCACAAGAGAGAGCACAGGCUGGAUAGCAGCAAAACCCCAGCUCCCAUUCCAGGGACAUGCAGUGAAGGCUGGGAGAAAUCAGCCUCCUCUUCAGGACAUCAGAGAAGAGGAUCCAGGGGUCCCUUCUGGUCUUUAAGUCUGUAAUUCUGUUGCUUCUCAGUUUUUCAAAUUAAAUUUUAGUGUGAAAUCUA